rnacentral:snRNA from 1 species
GUGCUUGCUUUGGCAGCACAUAUUCUAAAAACGGAACCACAGAGAAAGGCUUAGGAUGGCCCCUGCACAAGGAUGACACACAUUUGUGAAGUGUUCCAUAGCUUU